rnacentral:misc_RNA from 1 species
AAGUCGUAACAAGGUCUCCGUAGGUGAACCUGCGGAGGGAUCAUUACAGAGUUCAUGCCCUAACGGGUAGAUCUCCCACCCUUGCGUAUUUAUACCUUUGUUGCUUUGGCAGGCCGCCUGGGCUCGCGCCUGGCCACCGGCUCCCGGGCUGGUGCGUGUCUGCCAGAGGAUCUCCAAACUCUAGUUAUCAGUGUUGUCUGAGUACUAUACAAUAGUUAAAACUUUCAACAACGGAUCUCUUGGUUCUG